GCUAGAGCUAGGUGUGUUUCUCUGCAGGUCUUUGUAUCCCGGGGGUCUCUGUAAGAUGGAAACAGUGAAUAAGAAGAAAGCAAGUAAAUCUUCAAGGACAACAGAAGAAUAAAAAUAAAAAGCCGGUGAAAAUAAAUGUGGUAUGGUCUCUGUUGUGAUAGUAUCUUUCCAUUGUCCAGUCUGGAAGCAGUGCUCAGCUCACCAUAUUGUGGAAGCUUCCUCCAGAGUUAACACUAAGUGGCAACUUUGCAAUUUUGAAAGACUUACAGCUAUGAAAGAAAAACAACACACAACUCUUCUGUCACCUGCCUGGUGCCACCUGUAUGGAAUUAGAGCAGAUUGGAUAGUGUAAAAAGAGUUACAUUGCUCUAAGACCUGUGUAAGUUGCAGCAGGCCUCUUGUUCUAGUAUGUCUCCUGAUAACUAAAGGUAAUAUAAGGUUAAAAAAUGGUUUUGAUGAGUCAAUAGAAGAAAGUCCUGCCUUGUUUAACAAAAUGGGGAGAUCUGUUAUUUUUAACAAAACAUCUCUAAUAUUCCUGUUUUGUGUUGUGUGUAUUCCUCCUACAUUAACAAAAGCUGUUCAGGUGUGUUCAGGUGCCUUGUAGACAUUAUCCAAAUAUGCUUUUUUCUUCUCUUUGGCUCACUGUCAGGAUGCUGUUAUCCUCUUUGUUCUGAAAAAAAUAAAUCAGAAUUGUGCUUAAAAGUCUUAUGUAACAAGGUAAAUAUAGUGUAUUUUUCAGUCACUUUAGUGAUGACAUACGUUAGGGAAAACAGACUGUAAUCUUCAUUCUUUUCCUAAAACUAGAAAUUUGUGGAGUACUUUAGUAAAGAAGUUGGUUUUCUCCUUCAAAACAUUCAUUAACGCGCAAAUGACUUUCUCUCUCUUUAUGUUGUCAAAAAAAAAAACUUGCAUACUGUGUAAUUAAAUCUCUGUUUUAAAGUACAUUUCUCAAGAAACACAACCUUUUAAGUUGAAGGCUGCAUAAUAGAUGCUAUUAACUGUAUAUUAAAGUAGAAAAUUUCUUGUACAACUCUAUAUUUGCUGAAUGAGUAUGCCUUUUCCAAAGUCA